rnacentral:rRNA from 1 species
CCUACGGGGGGCAGCAGUGGGGAAUAUUGGACAAUGGGGGGAACCCUGAUCCAGCCAUGACGCGUGUGUGAAGAAGGCCCUCGGGUUGUAAAGCACUUUCAGUGAGGAAGAACGCCUGGUGGUUAAUACCCAUCAGGAAAGACAUCACUCACAGAAGAAGCACCGGCUAACUCCGUGCCAGCAGCCGCGGUAAUACGGAGGGUGCGAGCGUUAAUCGGAAUUACUGGGCGUAAAGCGCGCGUAGGUGGCUUGAUAAGCCGGUUGUGAAAGCCCCGGGCUCAACCUGGGAACGGCAUCCGGAACUGUCAAGCUAGAGUGCAGGAGAGGAAGGUAGAAUUCCCGGUGUAGCGGUGAAAUGCGUAGAGAUCGGGAGGAAUACCAGUGGCGAAGGCGGCCUUCUGGACUGACACUGACACUGAGGUGCGAAAGCGUGGGUAGCAAACAGGAUUAGAUACCCUUGUAGUC